UGGCGGACGGGUGAGUAACGCGUAAGAACCUGCCCUUAGGAGGGGGACAACAGCUGGAAACGGUUGCUAAUACCCCAUAAGCUGAGGAGCAAAAGGAGGAAUCCACCUAAGGAGGGGCUUGCGUCUGAUUAGCUAGUUGGUGAGGCAAAGGCUUACCAAGGCGACGAUCAGUAGCUGGUCUGAGAGGAUGAUCAGCCACACUGGGACUGAGACACGGCCCAG
rnacentral:rRNA from 1 species